GGAGUUGGCCAGGUUAUCGCUGUUGCCACGUUCGGCAUGCUGAACCGGCAAUGGAGGAAAGUCCGGGCUCCACAGGACAAGGCGCCAGGUAAUGCCUGGGGGGCGUGAGCCUACGGAAAGUGCAGCAGAGAGUAGACCGCCUAAGUAGCUAGCGGCUUGAAGCCCAACAGCUUGAAGCAAACAGCUACCGGCAAGGGUGAAAGGGUGCGGUAAGAGCGCACCGCGUCGGUGGCAACACUCGACGGCAUGGUAAACCCCGUCUGGAGCAAGACCAAAUAGAGGGACUCUGGCGUGGUCCGCGCUGUCCCUGGGUAGGUCGCUUGAGCGUCAUGGUGACAUGCCGCCCAGAUGAAUGAUAACCCCCGACAGAACCCGGCUUAUGGCCAACUCCUAUU
rnacentral:RNase_P_RNA from 1 species